CGGGCGCGGCGUCGGUCUAAGUCUCUUGGAACGGGGCGUCAUAGAGGGUGAGAAUCCCGUAUGUGACCGAUGACCAAGCCCAUGUGAAACCCCUUCGACGAGUCGAGUUGUUUGGGAAUGCAGCUCAAAAUGGGUGGUAAAUUUCAUCUAAAGCUAAAUACUGGCCAGAGACCGAUAGCGCACAAGUAGAGUGAUCGAAAGAUGAAAAGCACUUUGGAAAGAGAGUCAAAAAGUACGUGAAAUUGUUGAAAGGGAAGCGCUUGCAACCAGACCUGCCCGCGGGCGAUCAGCCGUCCUUCUGGGCGGUGUACUCGCCCGUGAUCAGGCCAGCAUCGGUUCGGGCGGCCGGAUAAAGGCCCUGGGAAUGUGGCUUCCUUCGGGGAGUGUUAUAGCCCUCGGUGUCAUGCGGCCAGCCUGAACCGAGGACCGCGCUUCGGCUAGGAUGCUGGCGUAAUGGUUGUAAGCGGCCCGUCUUGAAACACGGACCAAGGAGUCUAACAUUUAUGCGAGUGUUUGGGUGUCAAACCCAUACGCGUAAUGAAAGUGAACGGAGGUGGGAACCCGGUAGGGCGCACCAUCGACCGAUCCAGAUGUCUUCGGAUGGAUUUGAGUACGAGCAUAACUGUUGGGACCCGAAAGAUGGUGAACUAUGCCUGAAUAGGGUGAAGCCAGAGGAAACUCUGGUGGAGGCUCGCAGCGGUUCUGACGUGCAAAUCGAUCGUCAAAUUUGGGUAUAGGGGCGAAAGACUAAUCGAACCAUC
rnacentral:rRNA from 1 species